AGCGUAGGCGGAUUUUUAAGUGAGAUGUGAAAUACUCGGGCUUAACCUGAGUGCUGCAUUUCAAACUGGAAGUCUAGAGUGCAGGAGAGGAGAAGGGAAUUCCUAGUGUAGCGGUGAAAUGCGUAGAGAUUAGGAAGAACACCAGUGGCGAAGGCGCUUCUCUGGACUAUAACUGACGCUGAGGCUCGAAAGCGUGGGAGCAAACA
rnacentral:rRNA from 1 species